AAGCACUUAAUGCAGGGCUCUGCACACAGUAAGUGCUCAAUAAAUAUGAUUGAUGGAUAUCUAAUGAGCUCAGACCCGUACACCUCCACGUUCCUGGGUUCCCCUGGGGAAUAUGGACACCGGUGUCUGUUGGGCCAGAGAACGCAUACCCUUUGAAGAGAAACUUUCAGAAGUGACUUUUCUAGAUGCAGCUUCAAUCAAUCAAAAAUAUUUAUUGAGUGCUUUCUAUGUGCAGAACACUGUACUAUGAGCUGGGGAGAGUACAGUAUGAAAGAGUUAAAAGACACGUUCUCUGACUACAAAGAGUUUGCAAACUAGAAGGGGAGACAGACCCUAAAAUUAAUUCCAGGCAAGCAACCGAGUAUAAAGAUACAUAUGUAUGUGCUUGUGCUUGCUUUUGCUAUUGGAAUUUUCCUAUAAUGAAUCAGUGGUAUCUACAGGGUACUUACUGGGUGCAGAGCACUGAACUAAGCACUUGGGAAAGGACAAAACAGUUGGCAGACACAAUCCUUGACCUUGAAGAGUAUAGAGUCUAGCAAGGGAGACAGAUAUUAAAUUCCAGGUGGAGGGAAGCAACAUACAUAUGUACCGUGGAGGUUGGGGCGGGUGAGUACCUAAGUACAUAAGGGUGAGACUAAAUGUAUGGGUGAAGCAGGCCAAUGGGAAAAUAGAGUUGUGGAGGGAUGAGAGUGUAGUCAGGGAAGACUUCCUAGAGGAGGAGAUUUCUUCCUCUUCCUCUGAUGAGUGCAUGAUUCAAAAGCAUAUAAGAAAAAAACACCUCACUACUCAGAAAAUCAAGUGUCUCACUGGUUCUCCUUGGAUGAGCUGGAUUCGCUGGGUCGGAAAACGUCCUACACACCAUUCUUUCAUCACAGGACACUGGGAACAGUGGGAGUGACGAUGCCGAACCAGCACACGUUGUCGACCUCGUAAUCCGGUCCACCGACAGGCCACUGAGGUUCCCGGCGAUAGACCCGUAGGGUCUGUCAGAAACUCCCUGAAAAAAUCACUAGCUGGGCUGUGGAGAGUGAGGGAGGAAUCGCCGUGCCCUGGACACUGCCGCAGACAUGGUGUGGUUCUUCCCCUUGCUGCUAGGGACCGCCUUCCCCGGAACGCUGGGCAGAGGAGGUGAGGCAACUGAGUCACAGAGAGGUUAAGUGGCUUGCCCAAGG